rnacentral:lncRNA from 1 species
AGCGAUGCUGUCAACUAGACUUGAAACUUAAGCAUUUGCAUAUUUUCUGUCAUUGUGCAUUUCAUGUGGAUAGCUGUCUUCCAAAGACGUACAUUGGCCCUCGUCUUGCGUGCUGCACACUCUGAGUGCAGACAGUGUGUCUGAUGCCAAGGUGUCCCAAGGCCAGUACGGUGCAACAGAUGGAGAGAUGGAGUGACAUGCGGUGAUGCACAUUACUCCUGGACCCUGGGCAGCAGAGGUGUCC